rnacentral:rRNA from 1 species
UACGUAGGUGGCAAGCGUUGUCCGGAGUUAUUGGGCGUAAAGCGCACGCAGGCGGUGCGGUAAGUCUCUGGUGAAAGCGCUCGGCUUAACUGGGCGAGGGCCGGGGAGACUGCCACGCUGGAGGGGAGCAGAGGCGAGUGGAAUUCCGGGUGUAGUGGUGAAAUGCGUAGAGAUCCGGAGGAACACCAGUGGCGAAGGCGGCUCGCUGGGCUCUACCUGACGCUGAGGCGCGAAAGCGUGGGGAGCGAACAGG